rnacentral:rRNA from 1 species
UACGGAGGGGGCGAGCGUUAUUCGGAAUUAUUGGGCGUAAAGGGCGCGUAGGCGGCUUCAUAAGUCAAAGGUGAAAUCCCUCGGCUCAACUGAGGAACUGCCUUUGAAACUGUGGAGCUUGAGGCCGGGAGGGGGUAGCGGAAUUCCCAGUGUAGCGGUGAAAUGCGUAGAUAUUGGGAGGAACACCAGUGGCGAAGGCGGCUACCUGGCACAUAACUGACGCUGAUACGCGAAAGCGUGGGGAGCGAACCGG